rnacentral:rRNA from 1 species
CAUGUCCUUUUGAAAAUAAUUUAAGGUCUGAUCUGCUCAAUGAAAUUUAAAUUGCCGCAGUAUUUUGACUGUGCAAAGGUAGCAUAAUAAUUAGUUUUUUAAUUAAGAACUGGUAUGAAUGAUUGGACAAGAAAAUUACUGUCUCUUUUUUAAUUUUUAUUGAAUUUUAUUUUUAAGUGAAAAAGCUUAAAUUUUUAUGAAAGACGAGAAGACCCUAUAGAGUUUAAUAUUUUUUAAUAAUUUGAGUAUAGAAUUUUUUUUUAUUAAAGUUUAUUUGGUUGGGGUGAUUUAAAGAUUUAGAUAAUUUUUUAAUAAAAUAAAUUAGUGAUUUCUAAAAUAAGAUUCUAUAAUUUGUAAGUAUAAAAUAAAUUACCUUAGGGAUAACAGCGUAAUUUUUCUUUAAAGUUCUUAUUAAAAGAAAAGUUUGCGACCUCGAUGUUGGAUUAAAAUUAAUUUUUGGUGCAAUAACUUAAGAAUUAGGUCUGUUCGACCUUUAAAAUUUUACAUGAUCUGAGUUUAAACCGGUGUAAACCAGGUUGGAUUCUAUCUUUAGAUAGUUAAUAUAUUUUAGUACGAAAGGACCAAAUAUUUAUUAAAUUA